CAACAUGGGGCAGGGGGCUGGAAGGUGCAGGGAGACCACCAGUGCUCCUGGUGGCACUGCUGAGAGUUAAACAGCAACAACGGGUCAAGAUCCGCGAGUGAAACCAACAGCCAGGUGGGAAGCUCCCUGUGCAGGGUGGGAACCACAACACGGUCUUGUCUUUCCUUCCAUUUGAAUGUGCAGCAUGCCUUCACCUGAACAGUGACAAGGACCAUCUGCAGUGACCUGGGAGGGUGACCCAAAUUGGAGCAGGACUUGAGCCAGAGGUUUGCUUCCCAGCCUGGAGUCUUCCUCCUCUUCCUCACCUGGGAAACCCGCCACAGCCUUUUCCCAGGGAGCUCGUCUGCCCUGGCUGUGAUGGUGGUGGGGAGCAGACCCCUCAGUGGUGGCCAGUGGCCCUGAAGUGCCACGAGGAGGCAUCAGUUCCAGGAGCUGUGUCCUGCCUGCCCAGCAGUUCCAUCGCCAGCUUGUCUCUCCCUCUCCUGCCUGAUGACUUCAACUCCCCCGUUUAUAAACUUAUGUGGCAUGUGGGAAUAUCUUUCUACCACUUGACUCCAAGAGCUGUGACCUUCAUCAUCAAACUUAUGAUCAAACCAUGGGUACGGCAUCACUGCCCAUAAUUGCUUCCUGAAUUAAAAUAUUUCCUCCAA